UACAGAGGUGGCAAGCGUUGUUCGGAAUUACUGGGCGUAAAGGGCGCGUAGGCGGUUCGUUAAGUCCUGUGUGAAAUCCCCGGGCUUAACCUGGGAACUGCAUUUGUGACUGCAAGGCUGGAGUGCGGCAGAGGGGGAUGGAAUUCCGCGUGUAGCAGUGAAAUGCGUAGAUAUGCGGAGGAACACCGAUGGCGAAGGCAAUCCCCUGGGCCUGCACUGACGCUCAUGCACGAAAGCGUGGGGAGCAAACAGG
rnacentral:rRNA from 1 species